rnacentral:lncRNA from 1 species
AUGCUCAAGAGAAAUUUUGGCCCUUUCCUUAAUGACCUAGAAGAAUCUCAGAUGAGGGUCUUUCCCAGGGAAGGAUUGGUACCAGUGAUCAAUGUUCUCCAAGUGACCCAUCUGUAUGGCAGGUUCUGGAGGCUACAAGUGCAAGAGCAAGAUGUGGCCGGUUUGCUCCCAGGGAGCUCACUGCAGGCUGGUUCUCUGGUUGUCUUCCUACUGGGGCCUCACGUGGUAGAGAACAUCAUCUCUCUGGAGUCUCUUUUAGGAUGACAUUUCCACUAAAUGGAGCAUGGUUGAUGAGAUUACAAAAUAGUUCAAGUCCAGAUAGAUCGUAGAUCUGAUUGUGGGAGUUAAAACAGAAAAGUAUUAUACAAAGAAAAAAAAGAGAGAAGCAUUUCAAAGAAGAUACAGGGUUCGCCACUGCUGCUGAUGUCAUCCAGCCCGAUGGAACUGCCACCGUCCACCUGCUCCCCUGCAGGGGACACACCUGAUCUGAAUCAUGUUUUUGGAAGAGCACUCUGGCUGCUGUAUGGAGUCUGGCCCACUGAGGAGAUCACAGGAAUAAGGCCACAGGUGUAAUGGGCUGAACUGUGUCACCUAAAUUUAUAUGUCAGGGUCCUAAUCACUAGGACCUCAGAUUGUGACUCUAUUUGGAGAGGGGGCCUUUCCAGAGGUGAUUAAGGUAAAAUGCAGUCAUUCAGCUGGGCCCUGACCCAAUGAGACUGGUGUCCUUAUAAGGAAAGGAGGUGAGAACCCAGAUAAACUCAGAGAGGACACCACUGAGGACAUAGAGAGAAGAUGGUCAUGUCCACGCCCAGGAUGGGGGCCUCAGAGGGACCAGCCCCGCCCACGCCUGGAUCUGACCUCCAGCCUCCAGGAUGGGAGAUACUACGUGUUAGUGCUGUUGAAGCCACGCUGUCUGUGGGAUGUUGUAAUGACAGCCCUUCCGGGAUAAUCCACGGAGCCCCCGGUAGAUGUGAAGCAUUCCAGCAGGUGUUCAGAUUCCUUGAUUUACCUCUUUGAAGGACCCUCGAGGAUAGCAUUGCAAUAAAGGAACGAGCAGGAAUAGUGAUGAAGAACA